rnacentral:tRNA from 1 species
UCCCUGGUGGUCCAGUGGUUAGGACUUAGUGCUGUCACUGUGGGACCUGGGUUCAAUUCCUGGUCGGGGGC